GUUGGUUACGGAGACAUCUACCCUAAGACUCUCCUGGGGAAAAUCGUGGGGGGCCUCUGUUGCAUUGCCGGUGUCCUGGUGAUUGCCCUCCCCAUUCCAAUUAUCGUCAAUAAC
rfam:Mus musculus chromosome 2, GRC primary reference assembly.